GCAGCUGUUACUGUUCUCUCUCGAUCCGUGUGUAUGUGUGUAUGUCAGUGUUUUGUUAUUAGUCGCCAUUAGCGCUGUUGUUUCGCUCCUAACGUGAAGGAGAGAGGAGCCCGCUGAAAGAAGGAAUUCAUCCGAAUUCCCCAUUUCGGACCCGUCCACUUCUCUGGCCAAUGUUCAAACAGGGUUUAGCCAUCUUUCGCAAGUACGCCGUUUCCGUGAUCGUACCCACCGUCGUUUUUGGAUCCAUUGCUUGGGAUUUUAACCGCACCCAGCGGUGGAAGAGGAAUCAAAUCGAAUUUGACGAGUCCCAAAAAAUCGCCAAUCAGUAACGAGUCAUCAUGGUACGCCUCAGUUUGUUGCGAUCCAUGGGGAAAUUCCAUCCUCGAUCCGUGCAGGCCGAGGUCAAUCCCUCGGUACCGAAGUUGGCUAUUCAAGUUUUGGCCACGUUUGGCCUCAUGGGUGCUGGCAUUUACUUGAACCAGCAGAACUUCAACCGCCACACCCGAUUCCGAGAUUCGAGCGCUCUCUACGGAGGCAUCAAUCCGGAUCCGGAAAAUAACCCCUCUUGGGGCGACAAAGAUUACAAAUGGAAGUUCACUGUCGCUUAGAAGGCCAUGGAAGGUCAAUUAUAGUCGGGGCUAAAUAAUAAAAAGUAUCAUUGUGUCGAA